CUCCCCCAAAGAUGCUUAAAGUAGGAUGAGAUGCUUAUGUAUUCCUUUUCUCAAAUCAUGUCAUCUUUAAUAAUGGGAAUUUUAAUGGUAAUUUUGAAUGGCAACUGUUUUAAUAAUGGGAAUUUUUAUGGUGAUUUAAAAACGUAAAAUGUGUUUGCUUUCCGGUGGGUGCUGCUGUGAGUGCCUUGCCUACAGUCUGAGGAGAGGGUGAGAUUGGCUCCCAAACACAUGGGCAGGAAGAUGACUUCAUGGCUCACAGGCUGCGAGGAUUUGGUUAUUGAGUUUCUGAAAGCUAGCAGAUGACAGAUGAAAAAAUGGGUUUAGGGAACCCUCAGAGAACAGGGUACCAUUUCUGGGUUGUUUUUGUUUUUUGUUUUUGUUUUUUUUUUUUUGGUUUUUUGGUUUUUUUUUUUUUUUUUUUUAAAUUUGGAGCAGGGAUGAAAAUGUGCUGAGAUUAGGCAGUGGUGACAGCUUUCUGGUCUCCUGGAUAUACUAAAACACACUCCAUUGUACACUUUUUUUCCUUUGUGUGUAAGUGCAUGUGUGCGUGCUGUGUGUAUGAGAAACACCUGUAUAAGGGCACAUGUGCCACAAUGCUCUUAUGGAGGUUACAGGACAACUUUGUGGACUCUGUUCUCCCCUUCCACCUUUGUGUAGAUCUCUGAGAUCAAACUGAGGUCGCUGGAUUUUUAUGCACGCCAUGUUCCUUUAAUUGCUGGGCCAUCUUACUGGCCCUCCACCUUACUUUUAAGGUAGAGUCCCUUACUAAGCCUGGAACUCAUAAAUUCAGCCAGACCUUGGGGCCAGUGAGCCCCAAGGAUUCCCUUGUUUCAGUGUCUGCAACACCAAGAUUUGGUAGGGAGGCUAAGAAGAUGGUGUCAGAUCCCUGAAGCUGGAGUUAGUUACAGGUGGUUGUGAACUGUCUGACAGGGGUACUGGGAAUCAAACUCAGGUCCUGAGCAAGAACAGUAUGCUCUUAACACACCAGCCCCAUAAGUGAUUUCAUGUAUGUUCAUGCAUGUACACAUGGUUCUAUUUAAUAUUUAGAAUAGCAGCAAACAAAAUAAUAACAAGAAACUGAAGUUGUGGAUGGCAGUGCUCUGUUUGGUAUUGCACACUUGUAAUUAUAGCACUCCAGGAGCCGAGGCAGGAGGAUUGUGAACUAGUUCAAGGGUGGCCUGAGAUACACAAUAAGACCCUCUCUUU
rnacentral:lncRNA from 1 species